rnacentral:lncRNA from 1 species
GGAUGACUGGCUGACAUACACAAACAGUAACAAAUCCCUACAAGCUUUUUUUUUUUCAUUGCGUGAUCUUCACUGUUCCGACGGAGACUCUUUUUCAGAUUCCCGAUAGGUUGUCUUUUCAGUUCUUGUUCAGACUACUUUUGCAGUACCUUUCUCCUUCCCUGUUUCAUUUUAGUCACUAUAGGGCUGAAAUUUGAAAAAAAUAUGAAGUUGCUGCUUUAAAAAAAAAAAAACCCAGCUCAGGUUGAAGCAAUCAAGGCACAGCCAAUGAGGAACCGCGCUUAGCUACUAUAAAGGGGAAAUGCCUGCCCACCCAUGAAGGGAGUUUGCAGCAAGAGUUCUGGACAGAGCUGUGUUGAUGCAUCUUCUUUGUAUGCUUCGGUGAGCUGGAAACAGAAACAUGAAGAAAGCAUUCUGAAGCAUUGGUGGAGUAGCCUGGCUUGUUGAAUGAAGUACAUAAAAUCCAUGCUUCUAUCUCGAUACUGAAAGGUGUCCCUCACUUCAGUUCUCAUUCUGUAACACUGAAGCAUUGUCUUGAGAACAACUUGAACAUUUCGUUCCUGUUAUCUGUGUCGAAAUCUCCAGAUCACCCCAAACCUCAUAUACUUGCAUAAAAUAAGUGGUGACAGAAGGAAGAGACUGAGAAUUCAGGUGGAGAGAAGAGAGGCAGUUCUUUAGAGUGAGAGAUACGGUUCUAUGGCCAGUGUGAAAAAAAAAAAAAAAACAAAACAAAAAACAGAGAGAAAAUAAAAUUUUCCUCCUAUCUCUGUUCCACUCUCAUUUUAAUACAUCUUCAGACUAAAGCAGUGACAUCUCAUUUUCGACUGAAGACGUUUGGAAAUGGAUCUCCUAAAAAGAUGUCAGCAAACAGGCAAAUAAACACAGAAUGCAUAUCUAAGCUACUGGAUGUUUACAAAAGGUACUGCAGAAGGGAAAAUGUACCAGAUGAAAUGGAAAUUAUUUCAUGAAUCACCUCACGAUUUCACAGAAAUAAGGGAAGUAUUAUUACUGAUUAUUCUCCAUAAAACAAGUUUAAAAACAUACCAUCGUCUAAAAAGGAAAAGUGAAAGGUUUCUAAAUUGGAUAUUUCAAUAUUGCUAAUGAGAACGAAGUGAGCUGAUGAAUGUUGAAUCAUUCCUUGACAGUUUUUAAACAAAUAUUAUCAUUCAUUCUCUUUCCUGCAUCGACAGAUGAUGUUUCUUGUUCAAAUGAGGCUUCCUGACUUUUGAUAAAGGCUGCUGAAAAUAGCACUCCCCUUCCCAAGCUGUAUAUUCACCUCUAGCAUAUACUGACAUACUGACAGGGAAUGAAAAUUUGGGAUGCUCUGCAGUGUUCUGCCCUUUCAUGAAGGGUUUGUCUUGUGUGUGAAGUAUGAUGUACACCAUGGUAUCACUAUAUCACAUUACCCGGUGAUGAAUUUAGAAGCUGCCACUGCUGUCUAAUUCAGCAAUCCAUUUUGAAAUUGAGUAGCCUCUUCUCUCCCUUAAAAGUAGGGCAUCAUUAAAUUAAAGUAACCUAUUGUGUGCAGCAGACUAGGCAAGAAGUGGGUGAUGUUCUCCUGCCUUCAGCUGUCUGUCCCUGCCUGCUGGCUGCUUUCAAAUGGAGGAGACAAGUCUGAUGGGCUGCUUAAACUCGUUCCUUCACUUCCCUCCAUUCUUAGCCUCCACAGAGGGCAGACUUGGGACUGUAAAGAACAGCUGCUUACCUCACUGAUGCUUUAUAUACUGAUUUAAGUGUGUAUAUGCUCACUUUUAUAUCUUGUUUAUUCAUUACUGUGGAAGGCUAUAGGAAGUUGGGGGAAAGUUGCAAGGUACAAGACUGAAAAUGGAUUUUGGAUUUGUGGAGCAGGCUGUGUGUAAGCAAAUGCACUUGGAUUCCGUGCUGGCUUUCUCCCGUUACACAGUUUUUGCAUUGUUCUUGAUCAAAAUGGAUGGAAAAUACUGAGGGUGUUCACUUGGUUUUGCUAUAAUUGCUAUAAACAUUCUAAAUAGUGCUUUGGUUAAUAGUCAGAAGGACAAAUGGGAAGGAAGCCAUCAGGUGGGUAGUCAGGUAGAGACACUUUGUUUGCGUUUACUGUAAGAGCACAUUGGAAAUAUUGUUAAUUUAACAUCAACCAUCUAAAGAUAGCACCAAUUCUAAUUUCAUCAGCAGGUGAGUGUGAAAAAUCGGCCAAUGUUUUCAAUGUAGAAGUGGAAAAAUAAAAAAAUAGAAAGCCAGUUAUGUAUUAAUUGUGAUAGAGCACUAUCUGAAUUUGAAGAGCUAGAAAUUCUGCCCAUUUCAUCGAGACUUGACCUAACAUUUCCCACUGCGAGUAGAAAAUAUUGAUAUAAUGCAUAGGAAUCAUUCUGUUUGUGGUGGGUUUUUGUGGUUGUUUGUCCUUUUCUUUCUUUCUUUUUUUUUACUAGCCGUUGCCCAUAUGGCCAGUUAAUUAUCCUUCUGCAGGCAGAAUUAUUUUAUUUAAUGAAUUUUUAAAUGUCAGUGACGUGAAAAACCAUUACUGUGGUUGUAAGUCCAUUACUCACCUUCAGCUUCUAUUUCCCAUCACCCCCCACUUUAGCUUUAAGGAGCAUCUGAAGUGACAGAGCUUUGAUUUCAGUUGAGAGUGCUGAGCACAGAAGUCUUACAAGUAAUACAUUAUUAAAAAAUCGUAGCAAGAAAAUUAAUUUCUACUAUCGUAUGCCAUGCUGGGUAUAUCACUUCUAACAAAUGACCUUUUUUUUUCAUAUAUUCAUUGGUAGAUUUACCAGGACAAAAUAAUUACUUUGUUUUCCACCUCUAAGAAAAAAAAAAAAGUCUUUUUCUUGUGCGUGUGUGGUUUUCUUGUUUUGUUUUUAAUUGAAAUAAGUACACAAAAUGGGUUCUAUAAGAUAAAAAGAAAAAGGAAAGAAAAAAGAAGGAACUGGAAAACCACACAGAAAUGAGGCACUGGCUCCCUGUCAUGUUGUCUGGUCAGUAAUAUUUCUUACUGUGAAAUUCCUGCAUGUUCGCAUGUUCAUGUUUAAAUCCUCCCAGAGAGAUUUUGCAUUGGAUCCUAGUUGAACUCAAGAAGGUAGAUGGUUAUGCGGUUUCUCAUAUUUCUUGCUUUUGAGAGGAACGUCUGUUUAUCCAGAGAGCCUUAUCUGGGCUUGGCGACGAGCACAUUCCGCAGCCAGAAGAAGGACCAGACAGCUAUACUCUGGACCACCUCAUUUCAGAAUUCUGCUUGAAGCACACUAAAGACUUCAGUGAGACUUUCUGACAGCGUGUGGUAAUGAAACUACCCCAUAAGGAGAUGAAAAACAAGAUAUACUCAAUGGGAGGAGCACAUGCUUGUACUUAAAUUCUUCUGUUUCUCCUUCAGUCAGAUGGGCAAAGGAAAAUGCUGUCCUAUCCCAAGAAAUGCAAAGGCAUAAUCAAGUAUGUCUGUGCCUCUCUUGCCAUUUUGAUAUUGGGAACUCAUCCAGCUGUGAACCAAUAGUCUUAUAUGGAAGAUCAGAACUGCUGCUCCUUCGCUUCUUGAUGUAGGAUCUCUCUAUACACAAGCACUGUGCGCGAGUCUUCCCCUUAAAACUUUGAGCACUGCAUAAAUUCUGCUGGUCAAGAGGCUCAGACUGUGAUUUCAAAAGGAACUCCCGUAUUUGUCAACACGUAGCUGAUGAAUGCUCACAGCUAAGAAGUGGUAUUGUGGAUCCCUUUCAUGACUUAUACCUAUAUUUAGUAAGUAUGGAUGACUAACUAAUCCUUUACUGGGAGCAGCUACUGCAAAAUGUAAGUAAGUGCAGAAAUCACCAUCACUGAAUAAAUACUGUGUUGAGUACAGGACGUGUCUUGCAUUAAUAUUUUUGGCCAUUAGAAAUAUUAGAGCAACAGUAGGUUUUAUCACUAGACUGGUUAUGUGUAACCUGUGUCACCUUCCUUUCUUAUCUUUAAAAAUUUCAAGAUGUGAUUUUAUUUCACAGCUGUGAUAACUGCAGAAUAAUCACACCAAUCACCAAGUUACUUGAAAAUAAGUAAGUAACAACAUGAGACAAACCUUAUCUUUACUACAAAGGCAUGCACAAGUUGCUCUAAAUUCUAGCUGGCACUUUACGCACCAAAAGGCUAAGAACUAUUCAAUCACCCUGCUCUUCCAGAACUUCCUUUACUGACUAAUAUAUUCUGGAGAGGUACCUGUGGGAGGAUUGGAGUGAGCCACUGCCUGCAGAGCUAAAUAACAAGCAUGAACACAAGGUACUCACCUAAACAUCCUCCAUGAAAAUGCAGCUGACACACUUGAGGGACGGGAUGCCAUUCGAAAGAAGCAUGGUGAGCAGGGCCAGGGAGAUGGUCCUGUCCUCUACUCUGCGCUGGCAAGGCCUCACCUGGAGUACUGGGUCCAGAUGUGGCGUCCUUUGUACAGGAGAGGCACUGACCUGUUGGAGUGCAUCCAGAGGAGGGUCACAAAAAUGAUCCAAGGGAUGGAACACGUCUCCUAAGAGGACAUGCUGAAAGAGCAGGGGCUGUUCAGCCUGGAGAAGAGAAGGCUCCAGGGAGACCUGAGAGCAGCCAUUCAUAUCUAAAGGGGAGCUACAGGAAAGAAGGGGACAGACUCUUUAGAAGGGUUUAUUGUGAUGGGACAAGAGGAAGUGGUUUCAAGCUAUAAGGGGAAGAUUUAUACUGGAUAUAAGGAAGAAGUUCUUUGCAAUAAGGGUGGUGAGGCACUGGAACAGGUUGCCCAGAGAGGUGGUGGGAGCCCCAUUCUUGGAGACAGUCAAGGUCAGGCUGGAUGGGGCUUUGAGUACCCUGAUCUAGCUGUAGCUGUCUCCGUUCAUUGCAGGGGUGUUGGACUAGAUGGCCUUUAACGGUCUCUUCCAGCUCAAAAAAAUCCAUUAUUCUGUGAUUUUCACCCAGCCUAGUAUCUUUCCUGACAGGCUGUGUAGCCCGGCAGAUAAAGGAAGCAAAAUUAUCCUUCUUGAAUGUUAGCUCUUGCUUAGCAUCUUGGCAAAACCAGUUGGCAAAUAAACCUUUGUUUGACCUUGGUAUGUUUCUCUGGAAGCUCUGUUUUUCUCCUCUGCACUCCCUUCUUUAAAUAGAAAGAGAGGUCUCGGACCAACAGAGCGCAAAGGAGUCACAGCAGGCACAUGGGGAGGGAGUCUCUGCUUCCUCAGCUCUGGAUACAUCCCAGCCUGACAUGAUUUGUCACCUUGUGUAAUAUAAUUCAGCUUAAGAUAUAAAUUCCUGUAAGCCUUAAGCUGUGCAGCCAGAACGGUGAUAAAGUAACAGAGAAAUGAAGAUUUACAAGACACAUCUAAGGUGUAAACAUGAAUAAAAUAAUCCACACGCGUACAUAGUAAAAUGCUGUAUUCCUAUGCUUGCUUUAUAUUCCCCACACAGUUCGAAGUCUGAUUUACUGCUCCUUACUGAAAACACACUCUUGCUUGAAUAGAAACUUGCUGAAAUUUCACAAUUCUUAUCACUACUCAGGAUUGCUACAAAUUUGAUUCAGUUUGGGUUGGUUUGCCUUAGAAAUUUCUUCUGUGGGAACAGAACAUUUGCACAAGUCGUAUACCCC